ACACCGGCAGCUCAAGUGGUAGCCGCUUUUAUUGGGCCUAAAGCGUCCGUAGCCGGUCUGAUAAGUCUCUGGUGAAAUCCCACAGCUUAACUGUGGGAAUUGCUGGAGAUACUAUCAUGACUCGAGGUCGGGAGAGGCUGGAGGUACUCCCAGGGUAGGGGUGAAAUCCUGUAAUCCUGGGAGGACCACCUGUGGCGAAGGCGUCCAGCUGGAACGAACCUGACGGUGAGGGACGAAAGCCAGGGGCGCGAACCGGAUUAGAUACCCGGGUAGUCCUGGCCGUAAACGAUGUGGACUUGGUGUUGGGAUGGCUUCGAGCUGCCCCAGUGCCGAAGGGAAGCUGUUAAGUCCACCGCCUGGGAAGUACGGCCGCAAGGCUGAAACUCAAAGGAAUUGGCGGGG
rnacentral:rRNA from 1 species